AGUAGUCACGAGUUUGAUCCUGGCUCAGAACGACGCUGGCGGCAGGCCUAACACAUGCAAGUCGAGCGGGGGAGCAAUCCCUAGCGGCGGACGGGUUAGUAACGCGUGGGAACAUACCCUUUGGUACGGAAUAGCCUCGGGAAACUGAGAGUAAUACCGUAUGUGCCCUUCGGGGGAAAGAUUUAUCGCCAAAGGAUUGGCCCGCGUUGGAUUAGGUAGUUGGUGGGGUAAUGGCCUACCAAGCCUACGAUCCAUAGCUGGUUUGAGAGGAUGAUCAGCAACACUGGGACUGAGACACGGCCCAGACUCCUACGGGAGGCAGCAGUGGGGAAUCUUAGACAAUGGGCGCAAGCCUGAUCUAGCCAUGCCGCGUGAGCGAUGAAGGCCUUAGGGUUGUAAAGCUCUUUCAGAUGGGAAGAUAAUGACGGUACCAUCAGAAGAAGCCCCGGCUAACUCCGUG
rnacentral:rRNA from 1 species